CCUGGCUCAGGACGAACGCUGGCGGCUUGCCUAAUACAUGCAAGUAUAACGCUGAAGAGAGGAGCUUGCUCUUCUUGUAUGAGUUGCGAACGGGUGAGUAACGCGUAGGUAACCUGCCUUGUAGCGGGGGAUAACUAUUGGAAACGAUAGCUAAUACCGCAUAACAAUGGGUGACUCAUGUCAUUUAUUUGAAAGGGGCAAAUGCUCCACUACAAGAUGGACCUGCGUUGUAUUAGCUAGUAGGUGAGGUAACGGCUCACCUAGGCGACGAUACAUAGCCGACCUGAGAGGGUGAACGGCCAAAAUGGGACUGAGACACGGCCAAGACUCCUACGG
rnacentral:rRNA from 1 species